AUUCUAUUUGCCUCAUCUCCCCAUCUUCUGUCUCAUCUUCUUACUUCCUCCGCACCGUCGCCGCCAUCCUCUCGCCCUUUUCUGCUCCUACCGAUGUGGCCAUUGGCCCUGCACUCCCUCCUCUCCCUCCCAAGCCGGUUGGCGGCGUGGAGUAGGAGCUCGACGCCCACCUCUUCCUCCCACAGCGGCAGGCAACACGAGGGAGGAGAUCAAUGUCCUCCUCGCCAGUUUGAGCGGGGGGCUAUGGGAGGAGCGGCCGGUGCUCCUUCCAGAUCCAUCUACACCCGGAAUAUGCAUCGUGGUCCUCACCGCCAAUCCUCCCUCGCUGUCCUUAGUUCACAGUCAGCGGGGACGAACCGCAGGGGCCGCAGCAGCGGCCAACUCCGACCUCCCUCUGGCCUAAGCUACUUUCGUCGCCGUCCCCUUUGCCCCAUCCACACCUACCGGCUACUGCAGGUCCCCAUCUCCUCAACUUCCAUCCGUCGGUCCCAUGAACGCGGGAGGCAGCCGGCUGGAGUAGUUCGAGGGCCAGCAGGCAUCCUUGACGACCUACAGGCUGGAUCUUCACCUCCACAUGCGCAUCCUCAAUUCCAUUGUGAGCGGCAGAGGUGGGCACACACUAUGAGCUUGAACUCCACCAUCGUCUCCUCCACGAUGAGCUCUGUUUUGCUCUUAGUUUGCUACGCGCAUUAGCAGCAAGUCCGCGCUGCCGCCGCCGACAACUUUCCAGUGUAUUCCGAACAAAUCUUCCAGCCUGCAGUUCGUACAGUAAUAAGUAUGCUCUUCUCAUGCUUCAUUGCUUAUUUAUAUCUCCUUUCAGUCAUUGGUUUCUAUUAUCAGUAUCCAUAAUUAUAUUCGGAAAAUUCACCAUGCUAUAUAAAUUCAGACCAAUUCAACUGUCACAGUUCAUUGAAAUUGGACAUUGUUUAUUAUUUCCCUGCUAAUUAUAUUAGCCCAGCGAUGUGUUCAUUGAAAUUGGACAUUGUUUCUUAUGUUCUUGCUAAUUAUAUUAGCCCAGCAUUCUGUACAUGAUACCAGGCUUUAAUUUGGCAUGACAUUUGCAAGGCCCAACUUGAGAACACCAUGGAUCUUUCGUUCUAGAGAGCUACCAGAUGUGUUCUUCUCUCAUUUUCUCUCCUCUGCCAAUCCAACACAAGACACUAUGCAAAGUGCAGACCUCAUUGAUCAGAGAGGUCAACAGAAGAUCCUUGCACGUAUUGAUCGCAUUUGGGAAAGCAGAGACUACCAGACAAAUCGUAAUGUAUACGAGCUGGGUUCAUAUUGUGGACUGUGAGGUGAUAUUCUACAGUUGUUGACACUGAACUUAUUUUGUCACUUUGUUCAGUAGAAACAAUGCAUUGGCCCAACAUAUUUAUC